CAGAUGGAAAGGAGGCUGGGGCUGCAUCUUGCACCUUUUAAUAGUUGCAGAAAUGAGGGGGAUCUGGCCGGUGUUGCUUGCCAGGACAGCAAGCGAGGAAGAACACUUUACCCAAUGGAAACGGCACGAGGGAAUUUCAGCCUAAAUGAGACUAAAGCACGCGAGAAAUACCAUGGGAAGAACAGCUCAGAAGGGGGAAAUAUCAAGCAAUCAAAGCUAGGUAAAGUU